rnacentral:rRNA from 1 species
GACGAACGCUGGCGGCGUGCCUAAUACAUGCAAGUUGAGCGCUGAAGGUUGGUACUUGUCCCAACUGGCUGAGCAGCGAACGGGUGAGUAACGCGUGGGGAAUCUGCCUUUGAGCGGGGGACAACAUUUGGAAACGAAUGCUAAUACCGCAUAAAAACUUUAAACACAAGUUUUAAGUUUGAAAGAUGCAAUUGCAUCACUCAAAGAUGAUCCCGCGUUGUAUUAGCUAGUUGGUGAGGUAAAGGCUCACCAAGGCGAUGAUACAUAGCCGACCUGAGAGGGGGAUCGGCCACAUUGGGACUGAGACACGGCCCAAACUCCUACGGGAGGCAGCAGUAGGGAAUCUUCGGAAAUGGACGAAAGUCUGACCGAGCAACGCCGCGUGAGUGAAGAAGGGUUUCGGAUCGUAAAACUCUGUUGGUAGAGAAGAACGUUGGUGAGAGUGGAAAGCUCAUCAAGUGACGGUAACUACCCAGAAAGGGACGGCUAACUACGUG